rnacentral:rRNA from 1 species
AUUGAACGCUGGCGGCAGGCUUAACACAUGCAAGUCGAGCGGGGUGAUGGUGCUUGCACUAUCACUUAGCGGCGGACGGGUGAGUAAUGCUUAGGAAUCUGCCUAUUAGUGGGGGACAACAUCUCGAAAGGGAUGCUAAUACCGCAUACGUCCUACGGGAGAAAGCAGGGGAUCACUUGUGACCUUGCGCUAAUAGAUGAGCCUAAGUCGGAUUAGCUAGUUGGUGGGGUAAAGGCCUACCAAGGCGACGAUCUGUAGCGGGUCUGAGAGGAUGAUCCGCCACACGGGGACUGGGACACGGCCCAGACUCCUACGGGAGGCAGCAGUGGGGAAUAUUGGACAAUGGGGGGAACCCUGAUCCAGCCAUGCCGCGUGUGUGAAGAAGGCCUUAUGGUUGUAAAGCACUUUAAGCGAGGAGGAGGCUCUUUUGGUUAAUACCCAAGAUGAGUGGACGUUACUCGCAGAAUAAGCACCGGCUAACUCUGUGCCAGCCGCCGCUGUAA